GACUCAAUGGCACACAAUGGUUAGUGCGCCUGCGCAUGGUGGUUGAUAUUUAGGAUGCGAUUACCGGGAUGCAGGAGGUCCGUGUUCGAUUUACGGUUGGGUCA